GGAUGGUGCGAUCACAGCGAUUGGCUCGCACGCUGGGGUUGCUGCGGCAACGGGAGGCGGUCGAUCUAUCAGCAGCCAAUGGCAGCUUCCAAACCACUCAAUGAUGCAGCCAGACAGGAAACUCUGGAUGGUGUCCCUGUGGAAAGCUGUUAGAACGGGCGCCGGGAGCCUAGCAGGCCUCAGAAGGAGUAGACGCUGUGGUGACCGGUGAGGAGGUGUCGUGGGCCCAGGUUCGAUCGUCCGUCUGUGCACAGUGUUACGUACCCCGUAACUGGGUUGCCAAACCAGCAGAAAUGGACCACUAGUUGGAGUCUGGAUUACUGGAAGCUAAUGAAGUUUUAUUAAAGAAAUAAGUAACACAGUACUCUAAUCCAGCAUCAAUCUUCUGAUAACUUGGUUUGUCGUCACAACAGCAAGGAGCUUCGUGCUGUUCACUCUCUCCACGGCAGAGCCAUUGACGUCCAGUGGAGAGUGGUCAACCUGUGCCUUCCUGAAGUCCACAGUCACCUCUUCUGUCGUGUCCAUGUUGAGACUCGGGUUGUUGAUCUCACACCAUCUGACAAGCCUCUCUGUCUCUCCUCUGUCUGCUGGCUCCUCAUUGUGAGUACAGAGGAGAUUUACUAAAAUGUUGCCUGGGUUUGAUCUCCUAAGUUACAGAGAAAGGUUGAACAAGUUCGGUCUUUAUUCUUUGGAGCUUCGAAGGUUGAGGGAGGGACUUGAUAGAGGUGUUUAAAAUUAUGAGGGGGAUAGAUAGAGUUGACGUGGAUAGACUUUUUCCAUUGAGAGUGGGGAAGAUUCAAACAAGAGGACAUGAGUUGAGAGUUAAAGGGCAAAAGUUCAGGGGUAACAUGAGGGGAACUUCUUUACUCAGAGAGUGGUAGCUGUGUGGA